UUGGAGAGGUCUAUAUUUCUUCCUGGGAGGUUUUGCUUUGGAGACUAUUUUCUUCCUCAAGGAUUCUUCUUCAUCCUCCCGAUCACUUAACCCUUUUCGUUGGGAUUCUCGGUACCGGCGGCAGCUAGGAGAAGGGAGUUCCUGGUUUUGGGUUCUUCAUCAAGUUUCCAGAUUCUUGCAUGAGUGUAUGUUGCCAUUAGAAGCCUGCAAAGUCAUCUUUGAACUCCUGUGUCCAAAUCGUAGGACACCUUUGCUGUGAUUGUCGUAGCGAGCCGUAGUCGUGGGACUUGGUGAACCCGACAUUGUAGCUCGAAACCAGGAGAAGAUCAAGUCUAGGAUCGUGGGGUGUCCGGGAG